GACCUUGUAGCUCAGUUGGUAGAGCAUUGGACUAGCCAACCAAAGGUUGCAGGUUCGAAUCCCACCACGGUCA